GUUAGGAAUAUUGGACAAUGGGCGCAAGCCUGAUCCAGCCAUGCCGCGUGAGUGAUGAAGGCCUUCGGGUUGUAAAGCUCUUUAGUCCACGAAUAUAAUGACUGUAGUGGAAGAAUAAGCCCCGGCUAACUUCGUGCCAGCAGCCGCGGUAAUACGAAGGGGGCGAGCGUUAUUCGGAAUCACUGGGCGUAAAGCGUGCGUAGGCUGUUUUGUAAGUCAGAAGUGAAAGCCCAGGGCUUAACCCUGGAAUUGCUUUUGAAACUACAAGACUCGAAUUCGAGAGAGGAUAGCGGAAUUGUCAGUGUAGCAGUGAAAUGCGUAGAUAUUGACAGGAACACCAGUGGCGCAAGCGGCUAUCUGGACCGAUAUUGACGCUGAGGCACGAAAGCGUGGGGAGCAAACAGGAUUAGAAACCCUGGUAGUCC
rnacentral:rRNA from 1 species